rnacentral:rRNA from 1 species
CAGCAGCCGCUGUAAUACGUAGGGUGCGAGCGUUAAUCGGAAUUACUGGGCGUAAAGCGUGCGCAGGCGGUUUUGUAAGACAGGCGUGAAAUCCCCGGGCUCAACCUGGGAAUGGCGCUUGUGACUGCAAAGCUAGAGUGCGGCAGAGGGGGAUGGAAUUCCGCGUGUAGCAGUGAAAUGCGUAGAUAUGCGGAGGAACACCGAUGGCGAAGGCAAUCCCCUGGGCCUGCACUGACGCUCAUGCACGAAAGCGUGGGGAACAAACAGGAUUAGAUACCCCCGUAGUCCCUGUCUCUUAUAC